rnacentral:rRNA from 1 species
UACGGGGGGGGCAAGCGUUGUUCGGAAUUACUGGGCGUAAAGGGCGCGUAGGCGGGUGGACAAGUCUCUCGUGAAAGCCCACGGCUCAACCGUGGGAUUGCGGGGGAUACUGUCUGUCUUGAGUCCGGGAGAGGAGGGUGGAAUUCCCAGUGUAGCGGUGAAAUGCGUAAAUAUUGGGAGGAACACCGGGGGCGAAGGCGGGUCUCUGGACCGGUACUGACGCUGAGGCGCCGAAGGUAGGGGAGCAAACGGG